GAUGAAGAACGUAGCGAAAUGCGAUAAGUAAUGUGAAUUGCAGAAUUCAGUGAAUCAUCGAAUCUUUGAACGCACCUUGCGCUCCUUGGCAUUCCGAGGAGCAUGCCUGUUUGAGUGUCAUUAAAUUCUCAAGACCUGUCUGCUUUUUUGAUAGGUAUUGGAUUUUGGGGGUUGCAGGCUGGUUCAAAUAAAUAGCCUUGCUCUCCUUGAAUGUAUUAGUGGAGAAAAGCCAUUGAACUCCAUUGGUGUGAUAAAACCUAUCAAUGCCAGGAGCAAUAUCACUACUUCUCUCUGCUGUCUAACUGUGACUGUCUGUAUUAAUUAGUAUGGAUGGGGACAACUUGACCAACUUGACCUCAAAUCAGGUAGGACUACCCGCUGAACUUAAGCAUAUCAAUAAGCGGAGGA
rnacentral:misc_RNA from 1 species